rfam:Picea glauca, whole genome shotgun sequence.
AUAAUGGUGUCUUUAGACACCAUCUGUAUCUUCAAAGUGUUUGUUU